CACCCUGAUCUGUCAGGAGGCCCCAUGGCAGGAGCUUUGGAAGAAAACUCACAGGCCAUCCUGCGUGGAGCUUAUAGUGAUGUGGAUACCAACUGGGGAAAGACUGCCCUGGGAGGGUGGUGAGUGGAACCAAAUAAGGAAGGACAGAGACGACAGUCAGCUAAGCAGUAAAGGACAGAGAUGGCACUGGGUGUUACUCUACAUCAUUUUUUUUCUAUGUCAAUUUUCUUCUUGAAUGGUGGCAGAAAGGUGUUCCCACUGCAAUCACAGGAGGUUUAUGAAUGGAAGAGGAAGUCAGGAGAGCAGAGAGAGAAACAUGAAGGUACUAGAAAGCUGACUUUGAAAACAGAGGAAAAGGCGAGAAUCAAGAAACCUAGAAAAGACUAACCUGGCCUUCCUGCAGUUUUCAGAAGGGAGGCAACCUUGCUAACAAAUCCGCUUUACCCAUUGAGAACUGUAUCCCACAUUUUCUCUGCAGGACAAUAAGAAAAUAAAUUCUAUGUUGUCUUAAGCCA